rnacentral:lncRNA from 1 species
CGUGAUGACCGCAGCUCUCUUCUAUAUAUGAUGGUAGUUUAGAUGGUCGAUAUAUCGACUUGUAAUGUGAAGACAAACUCGCUACUCGCGGUCUCGAGACUUGUAAUGUUCUAACUUUGUUCGGUAUUUUAAAUUCGGAGACUAAUAUGAUUAAUUGUAUUCGGAGACUAAUCUUCUAUUGUAUUCGAUAAAUCUGUUGUUUAUAUGUUGUGCUAU